CCCUUAGAUGUUCUGGGACGCACGCGCGCUACACUGAUGCAUUCAACGAGCCUAUCCUUGACCGACAGGUCCGGGUAAUCUUUGAAUCUGCAUCGUGACGGGGAUAGAUUAUUGCAAUUAUUAAUCUUCAACGAGGAAUGCCUAGUAGGCGCAAGUCAUCAGCUUGCGUCGAUUACGUCCCUGCCCUUUGUACACACCGCCCGUCGCUCCUACCGAUUGGGUGUGCUGGUGAAAUGUUCGGAUCGGCCGUUUGUCGCGGUUUCCGCGUCAUGUGGCUGAGAAGUUCAUUAAACCCUCCCACCUAGAGGAAGGAGAAGUCGUAACA
rnacentral:rRNA from 1 species